CCUACGGGUUGCACCAGUGGGGAAUAUUGCACAAUGGGCGCAAGCCUGAUGCAGCCAUGCCGCGUGUAUGAAGAAGGCCUUCGGGUUGUAAAGUACUUUCAGUGGGGAGGAAGGUGUUGUGGUUAAUAACCGCAGCAAUUGACGUUACCCGCAGAAGAAGCACCGGCUAACUCCGUGCCAGCAGCCGCGGUAAUACGGAGGGUGCAAGCGUUAAUCGGAAUUACUGGGCGUAAAGCGCACGCGGGCGGUCUGUCAAGUCGGAUGUGAAAUCCCCGGGCUCAACCUGGGAACUGCAUUCGAAACUGGCAGGCUUGAGUCUUGUAGAGGGGGGUAGAAUUCCAGGUGUAGCGGCGAAAUGCGUAGAGAUCUGGAGGAAUACCGGUGGCGAAGGCGGCCCCCUGGACAGAGACUGACGCUCAGGUGCGAAAGCGUGGGGAGCAAACAGGAUUAGAUACCCCCGUAGUC
rnacentral:rRNA from 1 species